UUAAGAUUAAUCUCAAUUUUAAAGUCAUUUGUAUUAAGGGAUUGCCCCCAUUUAUGAGUUUUUUACCAUACAAGUCCUUGGUUACGUUAGUACAUUCUAGUUGCAUGUAAUGGCAUGAGCUGCAUGUUGCCUUGUGCAAUGUAGACUGAUUGGUAAGGAAGCACAAGUACACCUUCAGUGACUUGUACAUCCCAGAUAUAAGGCGAGGAUCAUUGAAUUUUUCUCAAAGGUUAAUUUGUUUUAUGAAACCAGUAGGACAUUAUUUUACUUUUGUUGAAGUUGGCAUUUCUUUAUUUGUUCAUUAGCUUAAAUAUUUGGUAUUUUUUAUGUUUGUUAUCUUUCCAGAGUGGGAUUACCAAGCAGUAGGGAGUUAUUUGAUGCUAAAUUGGAGAAGAAAACUUACAGGAUUAUUACUCGAGUUUAUGAAUGAUUCCCAGAAAACAUUGCUACCAGUUGUCCAAAAGCCUGAUGGGAAGAAAAAUUUGAUGGUUUGUGAUCAGAUUCCUAUGAACAAUUUCUGCUGCUAAAUAGAUCUCUAGGUCUUUGUUUAUCUUUUAUAUCUCCUCUGACUACUCUAUGUUAUAUUUGAUAUUACUGAUUCUGAGGUACCAAAUUUAGUUUAUUAUUUAAUUUUUAAAGAAGAAUAGAGUGAUUUGCUUAAUAAAGCUCCAACAAGUCACAUAUGUAGUACCUGGUAUUGAAGACUUUGACCACAUUGAUAUCUCUGAAUUUGUUCAAAAAGCUCAGGGUCUCUUAGUAAGUUUCAGAAAAUUAGAACUUGGAGACAGUGACAGUGACAGCUGAGGAAUUAGCUGUGGUACCUAUUUUGCAGAAUCAACUUUCCAUGCUUGAACACUGCUCAUCUUUCAUUCUUCAGAUUAUAUAUGGCAGCAAGGAAUCUCUUGAAAGCUAUUGUUCCCUUCUCUUGUUGUCUAGAGAUGACAUAUUUUAAUGUGGUUGAUGGCAAGGGAUAUUCUUCUCUAUAUGAACCACGAGCAAGCAUCAAGGGUCAAUACGAGGAUUCUUUAGGAAAGAUUCGUUUGGUCAAUUUUCGUGGCUGCCCAACCACUUACUCAAUGGUGGCGACAGGCUACUUUUCAUGGACGAGGUGGUGGUGGGUUUUCUCUCGUUGCAUCGGUCUUCGAUGACGAUGGCAUGCUUUUGCUUGCUUCCAACCUAUUGUCAUCGUUCCGUCGUAAGUUCUUGAUCCUUGGUCCAAAGAUGGUUCGGUACAGGGAUUCUUUGGGAAAGAUUCUUUUGGUCUAUUUCAUGACCGCCCCUUCCUCGACGAUGGUGGAAACCUAGCCGUAGACACCAUCAUCAGCUUAGAUUCCUUGGUAGAGGCUAAAAACGAAGGUGGUGAUCAACAAGGAGGGUUUUCUGUAGUUGCAUCGAUGGUGAUCUCAUGCUUUUGCUUGUUUCCUAUCCUAUGGUGGCCAUUCUUUCGCAAAUUCUUGAUCCUUGGUGCAGAGAAGUGUCGGUUUAAAGAUUCUUUUGAAUAGAUUCUUUUGGUCACAGAUUUUCAUAGCAUGCUAUGCUGCUGCCUAGCUUGCAAUGAAGAUGGCAAUUGACGAGGUGGCUUUUUUCUCUCAUUAGGCCGGUGAUGCUUUGUCUUUCUUCCAGCCCUAUCAUUGUUGUUUGAUCACAGAUUCUUGAUCUAAUGGUCCAGAGGAGAAGAGUUAGUAGGUUGGUUCUUUGGGACAUAGAGUGUUCCUUUGCCACAUGAUUGAUUUCUGCCCAUUGGCGAGGAAACCUUCUGUCAAUGGCAUAAUUGUGUUGAUAAAGGAACCUGAGGUGUAGUAGAUUAUUUGGUCAUAGUGUGAUGCUAUGAUCGUGCUGUUUGUGCUUCUUAUGGAUGAAGAAGAGAUAAUUGGAUUGGUUGCCGAUAAGUGGCUGAGAAAGUUUAUUCAUUAGUGGUUGAUAAAUCCAGCUAAUCUGUUUGUAAUAUUAUGAUCAGCUUAGUGAGUGUGGGAAGUUCUAUAUGGCAAGCCAAGGCAGGCACCGACCACAGCCGGUAAUUGAAUAUGAUAUUUAUUCAGGCUACCUUUUAAUACUCUGUGAGUCUACAAAUGCUAGAGAUGUUGAAGAGAGGCUUUGCAUGGCAGUACAAAUGCUAUGACGGUCGUGGGGACUUUGCGACUGCUAGCUUCCAGCAGGAAGCAGUAGCUGAAGAGAUUCUUGAUGAAGAACAAAUCCUGAUCAAGGGUUGGGGGUUCUUUGUUUUCCUGAUAACAACAGCAAAAGUUCAGGAUUGCUUGAGAGGGCAAACCAUUUCAGUGAUGCAAAAAAUCAUCUUUUGUUUCUAGUUCUCCUCUGUUCAUUUUUAGACCCAGAUGAGGUUUUACCACUUAGAUAUGGCAGUUCUUGUUUUUCUGAGAAGUAAACUUCUUUCAUACAGUAAUAACUAGCAUUAAAAGAGAAUGAUUUCCUCACAAGAGGAUUAGUCAGUAGUCUUGAAGUGUAUCAAUGCAUAUGUGGAAAAUGGUUACCUAGAAACUGAGGUUGCUUUAACUCUAUCUUUUCCCUUCUUUGGAGAAGAUUUGUUGAACAAGUUUGAACUAUAUCUCGUUCUUUGAUCUGUAGCAUGUUUCAUAAAUUCGAGGAGGUUGUCCAUGAUUCUCUGCAUUGAAUGUGUCAUUGGUAAGAAAGUUUGAUCUCUUCUGAAUGGCCUUAAUUUACACAGAGGCAAUUUUUCCUUUUUGUGUUUUCUGGAAAACUCUUACUAUGUCAUCUAGAGACACCUGGAAAGAGAAUACAGUUUGAAGUUGGAGAUUUAUAAUGAACAAGUGGUCAAGGAAUCCUUGAUCACAUAUGAAGCGUCCUUGCACUUGGUUAAUCGUUUUGAAUGCUCUGCAAUAUAACCAUCAGAAGAAUUUAUUUCUUUAUCAUGAUUGGUAUCAAUAAUGUCAGCUAAUAUGCAGAUGACAACACCUUGAUACAUGAUACCUGUCAAAGAUUAAAGAGCUAAGACAAAGUCUAGUGUGUAAAAGGCCAUGGAUGGUCUCUCUUCCUUCAGGCAGACAAGUAUGAACAUGACAUGUCUUUCCUGAAGGAUAUAUUGAUUGAAAGCAGCAAGAUGGACAUGAUUCAGCCAAGUUAUGAAGCUGUGCUGGAGAUAUGUUCACAAGAUGGUCUUUUUCUCUGCUGAAAUUCCGUUCAUGCCAGGUACCUUAUCUUCGGUGAGGCUGCAAACUUCUCUCGAGGAAGGAGAAUAUUUGAUUCCAUAAGAAGUGAUUGAAAAACUUGUAUUAGAGACGCUGGUCCAAGCUGCUGAGCGGUGUUCACCUUCGCUUGUGGGAUCUCUUGUUGUCUGGUUAUGAGUAUUAGCCUUCAUGCUGUAGUUCUUAUAUGUCUAAUAUUGUUCUAUGACGGUCUGGGAGCUGACUCUACAAACGUUAAGAAGGUCGAGAGAGAAAUCAAGGAAUUGGCCAAGAAAGUUAAUGAUUUAUGUGGUAUGUUUGUCAAUAGAAGGUUUUGAUUUUUAAUGAUAGAUUUGCAGAGUUUCAUUCCUUUCACUUGUUUCCACAUUGGUUAAGAUGAAGAAACGAAGAUGGUGAAGGAUUUGACAAUCUUGAAACUAAACUUGAGGCUCAUCUUGGAUAAAGAAGCUUGAGACAUGGGGAAUAGAGUAAGAGAAGCCUUAUAAGAUGCAACUUCUACCCUUGGAAUGGGACUAUAUUUUGUGUAGUUCCAUAGUAGUUAGCAUUAUUAGUUUGAAUUUAAUUUUAGUUUUUAUUUCAUAUCGUGUCCGAAUACAUUAUUUCAUCAUGGGUGGAUAGUGGGAAGCGAACACGUAGCUUCUUCUUGUCAAAGAGAAAUUGUAACAUUCAACCUAUCCGCAUUUUUUUCAUGCGUGCAUGUAUGUCCACACAUGCGUGGCAUAUAUCAUGUAUACAUCUAGAUGAUGAAUG